CUUAGCAUUAGGGGUGGCUGAGCUGUUAGCCAAGGGUAUUUGUAUGCAUAAAUUAGUGCUGGAUCUGUAGAGAUGGGCUUUGGGAACCAACAAAAUUGGGGAUCCAAAUAAAAAAUUUUUUCUCUGUGAAUGGGAAGAAAAAAAAAAAGACAAGCAAUGUCGGGCUGCAUCUAUGGAGGGUGAUCAAUUGAGGAAGAUGUGAUCCCCAAAAACGAAGACCUAGGUUUCAGUGAGAGGGAUACAGCUGCUGAAGGUGUUGAUGUGGUGGUGAUUCACAACUGGAAACCCUCGACGAUUGAAGUUGCGGUGUUGUGUCUUAUCCGGCGUUGAAUGCGUCUAACCGUCCACCGUUUCAUCGCAGGCCGGAUCGGAAGCUGGUGCUGUUCUAGUUGGGGCCUCAUCACAUGAACGAGAACUCAUUUUUGUUCCAACUCCUUUGCUGACAAAAUUAAUGCUAGUCGCAUAUAUCAAGAUUGUAAUACCUUUUUCUCCUUGGCUGAAUUAACCACGGCAUAGGGAGACCCCGCCUACUAAAUUUUCAAUAUCUCUGAACUUUCAGACCUAUCAGGUGACAAAGGUAGUUAAAGAGUGUUAUGACAAAGGCGCAAAUUGAUGAGUAAGGUGAGAAUGGGAGUAUAAAAUGCUUCAAGGUAUUCUUUUAUGGAUUCGGCAACAUCGGUAGUUUGAAAAUGAAAUUAGAAUAAAAAGAAGUUAACUGUGUUAGGGUUUAGGGUGUUUAUAUGACAUUGGUGUACAUGUUUGUAGAUGAGAAGUGAGAGAUCGUAGAUCCUAUGAGGAAACGCUUGAUUAAUCCCGAAACUGUAGAGUCCUACAAAGAAACAAGUAGAGAAUAUAAAAAGAGAACAAAGAUAGCGGGAAUGCUCAAACACAGGGGUGGUUUUUCAUGGUAGCUACACACUGUCCCAAGUUUGGAUAGAACUAUAUGUAAGCUUAACUUGAUCUUGUGACUUUGUUGAUGAGUUCCCCAGUCAUAAUAAUGUGUGUUAAAUUUGGAGUAGUAUUUGACAACAGUGGU